UACAGAGCCCUCGAGCGUUAUCCGGAGUUACUGGGCGUAAAGCGUCCGCAGGUGGUUUUAUGCGUCACUCGUUAAAUCCUAAUGCUCAACAUUGGGGCUGCGAGUGAUACGAUAAGACUAGAGGCCGGGAGAGGUAAGCGGAAUUGCUGGUGUAGCGGUAAAAUGCGUUAAUAUCAGCAAGAACACCAAAUGCGAAGGCAGCUUACUGGAACGUGCCUGACACUCAUGGACGAAAGCGUGGGUAGCGAAUGGG
rnacentral:rRNA from 1 species